rnacentral:rRNA from 1 species
AUUGAACGCUGGCGGCAGGCCUAACACAUGCAAGUCGAACGAGUGGCGGACGGGUGAGUAAUGUCUGGGAACCUGCCCGAUGGAGGGGGAUAACUACUGGAAACGGUAGCUAAUCCCGCAUACCAUCGGAUGUGCCCAGAUGGGAUUAGCUAGUAGGUGGGGUAACGGCUCACCUAGGCGACGAUCCAUAGCUGGUCUGAGAGGAUGACCAGCCACACUGGAACUGAGACACGGUCCAGACUCCUACGGGAGGCAGCAGUGGGGAAUAUUGCACAAUGGGCGAAAGCCUGAUGCAGCCAUGCCGCGUGUAUGAUGAAGGCCUUCGGGUUGUAAAGUACUGUCAUCGGGGAGGCGUUACCUACAGAAGAAGCACCGGCUAACUCCGUGCCAGCAGCCGCGGUAAUUC